UCGCCGGGCAUCCGUUCAUCGGAUGUCAGGAGGAAAGUCCGGGCAACACAGAGCAUCGCGCUUCCUAACGGAAAGCCGGCGGCGACGUCGGGGCGAUAUGUGACAGAAAAUAACCGCCGCGUUUUGCGGUAAGGGUGAAAAGGUGGGGUAAGAGCCCACCGGCUCCGCUGGCGACAGCGGGGGUCCGCACAUCCCGCGAGUUGCAAGGCCAAAUAUACCGGCAGCUAAGGAUUGCUCGUCCAUUGCCGAGGGGUAGGCUGCUAAAGCCGUCGGGCAACCGACGCGCUUAGAUAAAUGACAGACACCCGGGCAUUCUCGUCCGGGCACAUAACCCGGCUUACAUCAUCU
rnacentral:RNase_P_RNA from 1 species